AUGGGUUUCAAUAAGGUUCCUAUGUUUGUGCUGUAUAUAGUUUUGAUUUGUUCAAUUGGAGAGAAACCUUCAAUUGUAGAAGGAAGAGUCCUUUCAUUAAUAUCUCAUCAAGUUAUAGGGUACUCUAAGAUUUUUGCGACGCUUGGUGUUAUUUGCAAGUGUUGUGAUGAUGGAGUUGAAGGUGCAUGCAAAGAAACAUGGACAGAUUCUUGCUCUAACAUACAGUGUUCACCUUGGAAAACAUAUUAG